UACGAAGGGGGCUAGCGUUGCUCGGAAUCACUGGGCGUAAAGCGCACGUAGGCGGACUCUUAAGUCGGUGGUGAAAUCCUGGAGCUCAACUCCAGAACUGCCUUCGAUACUGAGAGUCUCGAGUCCGGGAGAGGUGAGUGGAACUCCGAGUGUAGAGGUGAAAUUCGUAGAUAUUCGGAAGAACACCAGUGGCGAAGGCGGCUCACUGGCCCGGUACUGACGCUGAGGUGGCGAAAGCGUGGGGAG
rnacentral:rRNA from 1 species